UUGAUAUUUGUAUCUCCAUAUCUCAAUAAAGGCAAUUUCCCUCCUUGAGUCCCCACUUGGCAGAGCCUUUGUAGCAUUCCACCUGCAGUGUACAACCUCACCAGAGAUCCUGGCAGACAGAGUAGCACAAGUUUCAACCUGUCUCUAAGUCAAUUUUUUUUACCAAUUAUCCACUCUCAGGCCAGCUUCGUUCACUUUGGGUCAUUAACCUAA
rnacentral:lncRNA from 12 species